UUUUCAACAAUAUUUAUGUCAUAUUAUGGUAAAUUUCAAAUUAUUCCAGUUCUAAAAUUAAAAUGGAUCUCGAUGUUUUCCUACGUUUUUUCCGUUUUUCCUCCGUUUUCUUUUCGGUUUUUCACAUUUGUUGAGAAAAAUUCGGAGAAAAUCGAAAAACGACCUCUCUAAAGUACCCUUAUCAAGAUUUGUUCAGUCUAGUUAAGUACAAAGACUAUUAAGUAGAAAAUUCACG